rnacentral:rRNA from 1 species
AUUGAACGCUGGCGGCAGGCCUAACACAUGCAAGUCGAACGGUAGCACAGAGAGCUUGCUCUCGGGUGACGAGUGGCGGACGGGUGAGUAACGUCUGGGAAACUGCCCGAUGGAGGGGGAUAACUACUGGAAACGGUAGCUAAUACCGCAUAACGUCGCAAGACCAAAGUGGGGGACCUUCGGGCCUCACACCAUCGGAUGUGCCCAGAUGGGAUUAGCUAGUAGGUGGGGUAAUGGCUCACCUAGGCGACGAUCCCUAGCUGGUCGGAGAGGAUGACCAGCCACACUGGAACUGAGACACGGGCCAGACUCCUACGGGAGGCAGCAGUGGGGAAUAUUGCACAAUGGGCGCAAGCCUGAUGCAGCCAUGCCGCGUGUAUGAAGAAGGCCUUCGGGUUGUAAAGUACUUUCAGCGGGGAGGAAGGCGGUGAAGUUAAUAGCUUCACCGAUUGACGUUACCCGCAGAAGAAGCACCGGCUAACUCCGUGCCAGCAGCCGCGGUAA